rnacentral:rRNA from 1 species
CGUAGGGUGCAAGCGUUAAUCGGAAUUACUGGGCGUAAAGCGUGCGCGGGCGGUUAUGUAAGACAGUUGUCGAAAUCCCCGGGCUCAACCUGGGAACUGCAUCUGUGACUGCAUAGCUAGAGUACGGUAGAGGGGAUGGAAUUCCGCGUGUAGCAGUGAAAUGCGUAGAUAUGCGGAGGAACACCGAUGGCGAAGGCAAUCCCCUGGACCUGUACUGACGCUCAUGCACGAAAGCGUGGGGAGCAAACAGGAUUAGAUACCCUGGUAGUCCACGCCCUAAACGAUGUCAACUGGUUGUUGGGUCUUCACUGACUCAGUAACGAAGCUAACGCGUAAAGUUGACCGCCUGGGGAGUACGGCCGCAAGGUUG